UGGGGGAUAUUGGACAAUGGGGGGAACCCUGAUCCAGCGACGCCGCGUGAGUGAAGAAGUAUUUCGGUAUGUAAAGCUCUAUCAGCAGGGAAGAAAGAAAUGACGGUACCUGAGUAAGAAGCCCCGGCUAAUUACGUGCC
rnacentral:rRNA from 1 species